UACGUAGGGUGCGAGCGUUGUCCGGAAUUAUUGGGCGUAAAGAGCUCGUAGGCGGUUUGUUGCGUCGGCCGUGAAAACUCAGGCUUAACUCUGAGCCUGCGGUCGAUACGGGCAGACUUGAGUUCGGUAGGGGAGACUGGAAUUCCUGGUGUAGCGGUGAAAUGCGCAGAUAUCAGGAGGAACACCGGUGGCGAAGGCGGGUCUCUGGGCCGAUACUGACGCUGAGGAGCGAAAGCGUGGGGAGCGAACAGG
rnacentral:rRNA from 1 species